UACGGAGAGUGCAAGCAUUAAUCGGAAUUAUUGGGCGUAAAGGGCGCGUAGGCGGAAAUAUAAGUCAGAUGUGAAAUUCCAAAGCUCAACUUUGGAGCUGCAUUUGAAACUGUAUAUCUAGAGGAUUGACGGAGAAAAUGGAAUUCCACGUGUAGCGGUGAAAUGCGUAGAUAUGUGGAAGAACACCUGUGGCGAAAGCGGUUUUCUAGUUUAUUCCUGACGCUGAGGCGCGAGAGCAAGGGGAGCAAACAGG
rnacentral:rRNA from 1 species